AACCCACAAAUCCUGUCCUGGCUACAUCUCCUACAUCACGAUGGUUUGGAUCCAUCUAUGCGCCACCGCCGGUUCGGCUAGCGUCCGCGGCUCACCGGGAUUCUCUCAGGCUAUAUUUACCUUGCCGGAGAUAUUAUUACUUCCCGGUGUUGACAUUUGCGCUCGCCGUUUUUCGGGAGAGGUGAUGCCAAUCCCCACCACCUCCAGACCUAGAAUCUAAAAUCACAAAUCCAAUUCGCAGCAUCGAAAUCUGUUGCCAUCCCACAUCUCCAGUUGAAUCCCCUCGUGGUCCCGCGGGGCCGAACUCCGAUCGAUCGAGGUGGGAACCAAGGCCCUACGGAUCGGGCGCGGCGAUGGAGUGUGGGGUGGCUACGGCGGCGACUACGGUGGCGCCUCCGAGGGCUGCGACUGGGGCACCACCACCGUUCCCGGUGAAGACGUUUAACAUGGUGGACGACCCGGCGACGAACGCGGUGGUGUCCUAGGGCCCCGCCAACAACAACGACUGAGUUCGCCAGGGACCUCCCCCAAGUACUUGAAGCACAACAACUUUUCCUCCUUUGUCAGGCAUACAUGCGAGUUGGGAUGAAUGAUGAUGGCAUGGCUGUAGUGUACCCGUCACCCGUGUAUGCUUGAGAUGAUCUGAUCCCGAACGCCACCCACCACCGGUAGAUUUGGGUACCUUGCUGAUUUAGAACUUCAACUAGAACGACAUAACUGCCCUCUUUUAAUUUAUAUAUACUCCAUGUACAAUAAAAGUGUAGGCAGUCAGUCAGGGAGACCCGAAAGUGUAUGAUUGGGUCACCAUGAUGGAGUUCUUUCUAUGGAAUACUGCUUUCUUGACUUAAAAAACAAAGACAUGAGUUUGUCAGGUUUAUCACCGCUGCUUUCUUGACUUGAAGAACAUGGAGACUACUGUUGUCCUAUUGUUGUGUGAUUGUGACAGAAAGUCAGGAGAGGACGGGCUGAGGUGGCAGACCGCGAUAGUAGGUGAAGGUUGGCAUGGAUCCGAAGGAGGCGCUGCACUAGCCCCAUGCGACUCCAGUCGUGCAACAGUCAUCAGAAAGACGAUGCCCAGGUGCCCUGGUUCUCGGAGGGUCGCUCUCUGUGGCAACGCCAAGCAGGGCCUCCAUUCAGAGCCACAACUUGGAGGAGCGCUGGAUUCAACUCCCCCCACAGGUGUCCCCUGGUUUAUUUAGAGACCAGAUUAUAAUGCGGCAAUAGUGUCCUUUUUAUGUUGGUGAUGGGUUUGCGGGCAACAACGGACAGCUUCAGACUAUGCUGUUCAAGGUUCUCCUAUCAAUACGAUCAUUUCAGUAAACUUAGAGUACAACAAUGACAUCUGAAUAAUCAUCCGUAAUCUGGUGCCUGCAAGGAGAGACCGCCGAGGACACCUUGACGCCCAAGUCAAGGAGGCAGAUGGGAUUUACUUCCUAUGCCUUUUAUCGACUGGGUCCAUCCAAAACUGCUAUCUUAUCCGUGCUGGUCCUCCAUAUCCUUGGUUUGCUCAUGAAUGUUACAAUGAUGCAUGAGAAAUCAAUUGGUUUUACUAUACUUAUUGUAUGUGACUCCAGACUAUUAUUUGUUCUGAAUUACUAAUGACAUGUACGCCAUGGUUUAGGAACUUGAAGGUUAUUCUUUCAUCUAUGAUUCAGUUCAGCUUUCUUGUUGAAAAGAAAAGGCUCAGGAUCACUUAGGUUCUAAGAUCUGUUUUUCCUAUUGAUAUUUUUAAUGUCCUACUAUUUUUCAAUGUAAAUCAAGCACCAAAACUUAGUUAAUGAUUCAGACUGAAAUUUCGAUAUUCA